GACGAACGCUGGCGGCGUGCCUAAUACAUGCAAGUCGAACGGAAAGACGCUGCUCUUGCGCCUCUGUCGUUAGCGGAAGGGGGGUGUAUCACGCGUGGAUCAUGUACCUGUCUGUCGGGUAUCUCCUCGAAACACCGGCGCUAAUCCCGUAUAAUCUAUUGCUGCGCGGGGGGCAAUGGUGAGAUUCGGCUGUUGGGGAUGGACUAGCGGGUUAUCAGCUGGAUGGGGUGGUUGGGGCUUUCAAGGGCUUUGAAGGGUAGCCGGCCUGAGAGGGUGACCGGCCACAUUGGGACUGAGAGACGGCCCAGACUCCUACGGGAGGCAGCAGUGGGGAAUAUUGCACAAUGGGCGGAAGCCUGAUGCAGCAACGCCGCGUGCGGGAUGACGGCCUUCGGGUUGUAAACCGCUUUCGCCUGUGACGAAGCGUGAGUGACGGUAAUGGGUAAAGAAGCACCGGCUAACUACGUG
rnacentral:rRNA from 1 species